GCUCCCAGUAUUCUUCCUACCAAGAAAAUUACUUCUUCUCAACCCACACAUAUUUUUUUCAAAUCAAAUACUGUAAUGGUAUUUAUUAAUUAAUGACUUUACAUCAUAAAGAAAGCAUUUUUAGUGUAAUGCUUUGGGGGCACCACUAGGGGGAGUGUGUAGGAAGACAUGUGCUUCUGGCAGUGACAUCACAGGCCAGCCUACUUACACUGAAUAAAAACCAGAUGUAGGAGAAACUCUGUCUCUUUUUUUUGCCUGUACCUGACUGAUCAUGUAGUACCAGCUCUGACUUAGCCCCAGCCCUUUGGCUGGGGCCUUGUAAGUAAUAUGAAUCCAUUGUAACAUUUAGCAAUUGUAAUAGCCUUUUGUAUAAUAUUUAGCAACCAAUAGCGUUUUGUGUAGUAUUGUAUUGUAUAAUUAUUGUGGUAAAUUGACAUUCAUCUAGCAUCUGUUUAUUUAUUAUAGUUAUAUUAAAU